GAAUCUUGCGCAAUGGGCGAAAGCCUGACGCAGCGACGCCGUGUGGGUGAUGAAGGCCUUCGGGUCGUAAAGCCCUGUCAGGAGGGACGAAAUCUCGGCGAUCUAAUACGUCGUCGACUUGACGGUACCUCCAAAGGAAGCACCGGCUAACUCCGUGCCAGCAGCCGCGGUAAUACGGAGGGUGCGAGCGUUGUUCGGAAUCACUGGGCGUAAAGCGCGUGUAGGCGGCCUUUUAAGUUUGAUGUGAAAGCCCGGGGCUCACCCCCGGAAGUGCAUUGGAUACUGGAAGGCUGGAGUACCGGAGAGGAGGGUGGAAUUCCUGGUGUAGCGGUGAAAUGCGUAGAUAUCAGGAGGAACACCUGUGGCGAAGGCGGCCCUCUGGACGGAUACUGACGCUGAGACGCGAAAGCGUGUGGAGCAAACAGG
rnacentral:rRNA from 1 species